GGCGUAUGUCAAUAUCCACGGCGAAGGUCGCUGGAACGCUGUUGCUCGCUUAUCAGGUUAAUAUAUAUAGCGUAGUUCCUUUCCCUGGUUAUUGAAACAAAUUUGGUUUUAGCUUUUAUUCGUAAUUUCUCACAGUAUGAAAUGAAAUGUGCGCAGGAUUGAGAAGAACCGGUAAAAGCUGCAGAUUGAGAUGGCUGAACUAUAUGCGACCAGAAAUCAAACGAGGAAACAUCAGCCUCGAAGAGCAGCUAUUGAUUCUUGAACUCCAUUCUCGCUGGGGGAACAGGUUUUUUGCUGGCUUUCCUCCUUCCUGCAAUUCAAUAAACAUAAGAAUGAUCUUAGGCUAAUCUUUUUGACCUUUUGAAACUGUGAAGGUGGUCGAAAAUUGCACAACACUUGCCUGGAAGAACAGACAAUGAAAUAAAGAAUUAUUGGAGAACAAGAGUCCAGAAGCAGGCCAAGCAGCUUAAUUGUGACGUUAACAGCAAAC
rnacentral:lncRNA from 1 species